UCCCCGCCGGAGCGGCGACGUCCUCCCGUGCAGUCCUCUUCAGUCGUCGGCGCAAGAGCAGAGCCUUGGCCGCCCGCGGGUUUCCUGUGCUGCGUACCUACACGAAGGAAUUCGGCCGUCGCAAAGCCCCACGUUCUCUCGGAGCCGCCCCUCCCUCGGGGGUGUGCGGUGCGAGACGGACCCCGAAGGCGACCUCGUGUCCCGGCCACAGCCUCGGCUGCGUCCCGGCCCACGAGCUGCCGCCUGAGCUCUCGGAUGCAGAACACCAGGAGGGCAGGAGGCGCACGGCCUCCGUUUGCCCGAACCCGGCGUGAAUCGCCCGCAUCGAACGACCGCCGUCGUCGUCUCGGGAAGUCGUCGCGGCCCUCGGGCCCUUUGUCUAACCCCGUGCGGCGCCGGCGUCGGUUA
rnacentral:misc_RNA from 1 species